GGGGAUUUAGCUCAGCAGCGAGCGCCUGCCUUGCAAGCAGGCAGCCGUAGUUUCGAUCCCCC
rnacentral:tRNA from 1 species